rnacentral:rRNA from 1 species
UAAGCGACUAAGCGUACACGGUGGAUGCCCUGGCAGUCAGAGGCGAUGAAGGACGUGCUAAUCUGCGAUAAGCGUCGGUAAGGUGAUAUGAACCGUUAUAACCGGCGAUUUCCGAAUGGGGAAACCCAGUGUGUUUCGACACACUAUCAUUAACUGAAUCCAUAGGUUAAUGAGGCGAACCGGGGGAACUGAAACCUCUAAGUACCCCGAGGAAAAGAAAUCAACCGAGAUUCCCCCAGUAGCGGCGAGCGAACGGGGAGCAGCCCAGAGCCUGAAUCAGUGUGUGUGUUAGUGGAAGCGUCUGGAAAGGCGCGCGAUACGAGGGUGACAGCCCCGUACACAAAAAUACACAUACUGUGAGCUCGAUGAGUAGGGCGGGACACGUGGUAUCCUGUCUGAAUAUGGGGGGACCAUCCUCCAAGGCUAAAUACUCCUGACUGACCGAUAGUGAACCAGUACCGUGAGGGAAAGGCGAAAAGAACCCCGGCGAGGGGAGUGAAAAAGAACCUGAAACCGUGUACGUACAAGCAGUGGGAGCACGCUUAGGCGUGUGACUGCGUACCUUUUGUAUAAUGGGUCAGCGACUUAUAUUCUGUAGCAAGGUUAACCGAAUAGGGGAGCCGAAGGGAAACCGAGUCUUAACUGGGCGUUAAGUUGCAGGGUAUAGACCCGAAACCCGGUGAUCUAGCCAUGGGCAGGUUGAAGGUUGGGUAACACUAACUGGAGGACCGAACCGACUAAUGUUGAAAAAUUAGCGGAUGACUUGUGGCUGGGGGUGAAAGGCCAAUCAAACCGGGAGAUAGCUGGUUCUCCCCGAAAGCUAUUUAGGUAGCGCCUCGUGAAUUCAUCUCCGGGGGUAGAGCACUGUUUCGGCAAGGGGGUCAUCCCGACUUACCAACCCGAUGCAAACUGCGAAUACCGGAGAAUGUUAUCACGGGAGACACACGGCGGGUGCUAACGUCCGUCGUGAAGAGGGAAACAACCCAGACCGCCAGCUAAGGUCCCAAAGUCAUGGUUAAGUGGGAAACGAUGUGGGAAGGCCCAGACAGCCAGGAUGUUGGCUUAGAAGCAGCCAUCAUUUAAAGAAAGCGUAAUAGCUCACUGGUCGAGUCGGCCUGCGCGGAAGAUGUAACGGGGCUAAACCAUGCACCGAAGCUGCGGCAGCGACGCUUAUGCGUUGUUGGGUAGGGGAGCGUUCUGUAAGCCUGCGAAGGUGUGCUGUGAGGCAUGCUGGAGGUAUCAGAAGUGCGAAUGCUGACAUAAGUAACGAUAAAGCGGGUGAAAAGCCCGCUCGCCGGAAGACCAAGGGUUCCUGUCCAACGUUAAUCGGGGCAGGGUGAGUCGACCCCUAAGGCGAGGCCGAAAGGCGUAGUCGAUGGGAAACAGGUUAAUAUUCCUGUACUUGGUGUUACUGCGAAGGGGGGACGGAGAAGGCUAUGUUGGCCGGGCGACGGUUGUCCCGGUUUAAGCGUGUAGGCUGGUUUUCCAGGCAAAUCCGGAAAAUCAAGGCUGAGGCGUGAUGACGAGGCACUACGGUGCUGAAGCAACAAAUGCCCUGCUUCCAGGAAAAGCCUCUAAGCAUCAGGUAACAUCAAAUCGUACCCCAAACCGACACAGGUGGUCAGGUAGAGAAUACCAAGGCGCUUGAGAGAACUCGGGUGAAGGAACUAGGCAAAAUGGUGCCGUAACUUCGGGAGAAGGCACGCUGAUAUGUAGGUGAAGUCCCUCGCGGAUGGAGCUGAAAUCAGUCGAAGAUACCAGCUGGCUGCAACUGUUUAUUAAAAACACAGCACUGUGCAAACACGAAAGUGGACGUAUACGGUGUGACGCCUGCCCGGUGCCGGAAGGUUAAUUGAUGGGGUCAGCGCAAGCGAAGCUCUUGAUCGAAGCCCCGGUAAACGGCGGCCGUAACUAUAACGGUCCUAAGGUAGCGAAAUUCCUUGUCGGGUAAGUUCCGACCUGCACGAAUGGCGUAAUGAUGGCCAGGCUGUCUCCACCCGAGACUCAGUGAAAUUGAACUCGCUGUGAAGAUGCAGUGUACCCGCGGCAAGACGGAAAGACCCCGUGAACCUUUACUAUAGCUUGACACUGAACAUUGAGCCUUGAUGUGUAGGAUAGGUGGGAGGCUUUGAAGUGUGGACGCCAGUCUGCAUGGAGCCGGCCUUGAAAUACCACCCUUUAAUGUUUGAUGUUCUAACGUUGACCCGUAAUCCGGGUUGCGGACAGUGUCUGGUGGGUAGUUUGACUGGGGCGGUCUCCUCCUAAAGAGUAACGGAGGAGCACGAAGGUUGGCUAAUCCUGGUCGGACAUCAGGAGGUUAGUGCAAUGGCAUAAGCCAGCUUGACUGCGAGCGUGACGGCGCGAGCAGGUGCGAAAGCAGGUCAUAGUGAUCCGGUGGUUCUGAAUGGAAGGGCCAUCGCUCAACGGAUAAAAGGUACUCCGGGGAUAACAGGCUGAUACCGCCCAAGAGUUCAUAUCGACGGCGGUGUUUGGCACCUCGAUGUCGGCUCAUCACAUCCUGGGGCUGAAGUAGGUCCCAAGGGUAUGGCUGUUCGCCAUUUAAAGUGGUACGCGAGCUGGGUUUAGAACGUCGUGAGACAGUUCGGUCCCUAUCUGCCGUGGGCGCUGGAGAACUGAGGGGGGCUGCUCCUAGUACGAGAGGACCGGAGUGGACGCAUCACUGGUGUUCGGGUUGUCAUGCCAAUGGCACUGCCCGGUAGCUAAAUGCGGAAGAGAUAAGUGCUGAAAGCAUCUAAGCACGAAACUUGCCCCGAGAUGAGUUCUCCCUGACUCCUUGAGAGUCCUGAAGGAACGUUGAAGACGACGACGUUGAUAGGCCGGGUGUGUAAGCGCAGCGAUGCGUUGAGCUAACCGGUACUAAUGAACCGUGAGGCUUAACCU